rnacentral:sRNA from 1 species
UGAAUGCAGAAGGGUAGCCUGGGGUUA